CAUAGACUCAGAACACACAUUUUCUAAGCUCUGGAAAACAUAUGCAUCGAUUCAUAGCUGUAUGAACCGACUCAAACACGCAACCUGUAACAUCCAGCAGCACUUACCAUUCCAAAACAGUAUACAUAUCAAUCAUUUUAUGCUAAAUUCCACGAAUCAUUCUAACUACACACAUUCAACACAGCUAUAGGGUAAGUUUUGCCAUGUGUCAAUCACACAAUGCUGCAGAAGAAAUCCUAGCUGGACAAGAUCACAAAUACUUUGCUUCUUCUGGCCAACAGUUUGAAUUUCGUUUCCCCCCUUUCAUCUCUUUGCUUGCUGGGCCAAACUUUUUUACCCAGCCCAGUCCAAUAAGCCCAAGGAUGGCAAACAAACAAAAAAUGGUCAGAACUCAUAAGCAAGCUGUUGUCGUGUUGUCGUUUUCAGCAUGCGAGUGAUUUUCUUCAUUUGGGUAACAAACAUGUUGCUCCUUUCUCUGCUGCAAGCUCCUUUCCCUGAUCUAGGUUUCAAAUUCAAAUUUCAAAUCCCCCUCAAAAUGUCUUUUGUGGCAUCUCUAUUUGCACACACAAUCUCUCUCCCUCUUCUACCUUCAUUCAAUACAUGCCAAUCUCUCUGCGUCCAUUUCUCUGCUUCAUCUCCCAGAAUCUAGAUAACAAUUUUUUUCUCUCUUUGUUUUCACUUUGGUACAGAUUAACUUCCAUUAUUAAUGAUUAGUUAAUGUGUUAUUUUCCUCACAGAUUCACACUUCCAUCGCAAUUUUCAGUUUUUAUUGUUUGUUCAGGUUCACAAUUAGAGUUUGAUUGGGCCAAAAGAUUUGUAGACUAUUUGGCUACUUUGGUCCUCUAAAUGCAGUUUUCGUGCCUCAUGAUGAUUAUAUUAGGCUUUACCCGGUCUGCAGUUGACUUCACUUAACAGAGUUAUUGUCCAGAGCAUGAAUGGGAAGAAAAGACAUGAAAUGAGUCCUUGAUUAUCGUAUUUUAUAGUUGCCUUCUUUAUAUUACUAGAUGUUGCUUUGGACCUAUGGUUUUAGACAGGAAAGUUAACAUAUAUUGAUUCAUUUUCUUUUGCAUCUAGAAAUUUAUUGCCCUAAAAUAUUCCAUAUAAAAACAUUUCAUGUGUGCAUGUAGAAGCUCCUUUUGCUGUUGUAAGUACAGUUGCAGAGAGUGUGAGAGCUCAUGCCAUUGUUGAUGUUGCUGCUGGUCAGCAAAAUGACAUACCUAUGAUUCCUAUAAGAUGCUCAGAAAAUAUGAAGUUCUUCUAUUUUGUUUACAAAUUGAGACAAGAAAGUGCAGAUAGUAUAUGGCUCACUACCUUUUGAUCUUGAGGCUGGUCAUAAGAUACUACCAAAUAUAAUUCCCUGGAAUUUUCUCUCAAGAGUUAUCCACACUAAUCGAGAAGGAGGUUGCCAAGUCAAUGACCAUAAUAGAAAACAACUCAAACUGGGAAGGGUUAGCUAAUGAAGAGCUUUGCAUAGAAACUGAUUAUUUAGCUAUUCUUGACAGCACUUCUGUUGUAUGGCUACUUUGUUAUCAAUUUAGUUAUGUAAACAUCUUGGUUGCUAAUCUGUUGAGGUGUACAAUUUUAUUUUUUCAAUUUUUAGUGCAACUUAUACAGUGGAAUUGUUGACUGGAAAAGAUUAUGUAAGUAUAUUUUAAGGUUGUUUUAAGUCUUUUACUAAAAGUGAAGUGAAGAAAUUUCAAGUUAUCCCAAUCUAUGGAAAC